AAAGGGGGGGAGGUGAAGAUACGCUGCUGGAGUGCUGGCUUGAAUCAAAAUGAAAUAAAUCGUCUAGGAAAAGAUUUUCUUCACUUGAUCUGGAUCGGAAAAUGCUUAGAAUAGUUCGGAAAUUGUAAUUUUCUUUGUUUAAUUUGAAUUCAAGCCAGCAGUCCAGCAGCGCAUCUUCUUCUUCUCUUCCCUU
rnacentral:miRNA from 1 species